rnacentral:tRNA from 1 species
GCCUGGGUGGCUCAGUUGGUUGAGCAUCCGACUUCGGCUCGGGUCAUGUCUCACAGUUCGUGAGUUCGAGCCCCGUGUCGGGCU